CCUACGGGAGGCUGCAGUGAGGAAUCUUGGUCAAUGGACGAGAGUCUGAACCAGCCAAGUAGCGUGAAGGAUGACUGCCCUAUGGGUUGUAAACUUCUUUUAUAUGGGAAUAAAACGUUCCACGUGUGGGAUUUUGUAUGUACCAUAUGAAUAAGGAUCGGCUAACUCAGUGCCAGCAGCCGCGGUAAUACGGAGGAUCCGAGCGUUAUCCGGAUUUAUUGGGUUUAAAGGGAGCGUAGGUGGAUUGUUAAGUCAGUUGUGAAAGUUUGCGGCUCAACCGUAAAAUUGCAGUGGAAACUGGCAGUCUUGAGUACAGUAGAGGUGGGCGGAAUUCGUGGUGUAGCGGUGAAAUGCUUAGAUAUCACGAAGAACUCCGAUUGCGAAGGCAGUUCACUGGACUGCAACUGACACUGAGGCUCGAAAGUGUGGGUAUCAAACAGGAUUAGAUACCCUUGUAGUC
rnacentral:rRNA from 1 species